rnacentral:lncRNA from 1 species
GAACUCCUUAAAUUAUCACACGCAAUCUAUGUACUCUUAUUUUAGAUAAAUUCUAACAAGCUAUCUGUUACUCCAUCUAGCACAGGUCAGAAAUUGCAACGAGGAAGAUAUGCUUAUAGCACGGAGAAGCCAAUUGACCAUCUGGCAGUGGAGGAGGACACAGCAGACACAGCUCCAAUUCCACGUGUGGUUUCCAGAGCUAAUCGUCAUUAUCUGUGAUCACCGCUGGAUGGCCACCUUGUGCCCACCAAGAUUCUUUGGCAACAAAGUGAUCCCUUUUACUCAGAUCUGGAGGUAUUCCCUGGGGGCAUGUGUGCCAAGCCCCGGGAAAGCUGCCUGCUCUGAGAAACAUGGGAGAGG